AUUGAGCGCUGGCGGAAUGCUUUACACAUGCAAGUCGAACGGCAGCACGGACUUCGGUCUGGUGGCGAGUGGCGAACGGGUGAGUAAUGUAUCGGAACGUGCCCAGUCGUGGGGGAUAACGUAGUGAAAAUUACGCUAAUACCGCAUACGAUCUAUGGAUGAAAGCGGGGGAUCGCAAGACCUCGCGCGAUUGGAGCGGCCGAUAGCGGAUUAGGUAGUUGGUGGGGUAAAGGCCCACCAAGCCAACGAUCUGUAGCUGGUCUGAGAGGACGACCAGCCACACUGGAACUGAGACACGGUCCAGACUCCUACGGGAGGCAGCAGUGGGGAAUUUUGGACAAUGGGCGGAAGCCUGAUCCAGCCAUUCCGCGUGCAGGAUGAAGGCCCUCGGGUUGUAAACUGCUUUUGUACAGAACGAAAAGGUUUCUACUAAUACUAGGAGCUCAUGACGGUACUGUAAGAAUAAGCACCGGCUAACUACGUGCCAGCAGCCGCCGUAA
rnacentral:rRNA from 1 species